rnacentral:rRNA from 1 species
UACGUGAGGGGCGAACGUUGUUCGGUGUCACUGGGCUUAAAGGGUGCGUAGGUGGUUGCGUAAGUAACGUGUGAAAGCCCUCGGCUUACCCGGGGAAUUGCGCGUUAUACUGCGUGACUUGAGGAUUUCAGGGGAAUGGGGAACUCCAGGUGUAGCGGUGAAAUGCGCAGAUAUCUGGAGGAACAUCAGUGGCGAAAGCGACUUCCUGGACCAAUACUGACGCUCAUGUGCGAAAGCGUGGGGAGCAAACAGG